UCGACUAUGCCAUGCGAGUCGAGAGGGUUCGGCCCUCGGCUGACGGCUCAGUAACACGUGGAUAAUCUGUCCUUAGGUGGAGGAUAAUCUCGGGAAACUGAGAAUAAUACUCCAUAGAUCUAGGAUGCUGGAAUGCACUUAGAUUGAAAGCUCCGGCGCCUAAGGAUGAGUCUGCGGACUAUCAGGUUGUGGUCAGGGUAAUGACCUGACUAGCCUACGACGGAUACGGGUUGUGAGAGCAAUAACCCGGAGACGAUAUCUGAGACACGAUAUCGGGCCCUACGGGGCGCAGCAGGCGCGAAAACUUCACACUGUGCGAAAGCACGAUGAGGGAAUCCCAAGUGCCAACUCGUAAGAGUUGGCUGUUUCUCUGUCUAAAAAAUAGAGAGAGUAAGAGCUGGGUAAGACGGGUGCCAGCCGCCGCGGUAAUACCUGCAGCUCAAGUGGUGGCCACUAUUAUUGGGCCUAAGACGUCCGUAGCCGGUUUAAUAAAUGCCUGGGUAAAUCGUGUAGCUUAACUAUACGAAUUCCGGGUAGACUGUCAGACUUGAGACCGGGAGAAGCUAGAGGUACUCCUAGGGUAGAGGUGAAAUUCUGUAAUCCUAGGGGGACCACCAGUGGCGAAGGCGUCUAGCUAGAACGGGUCUGACGGUGAGGGACGAAGCCCUGGGGCGCAAACCGGAUUAGAUACCCGGGUAGUCCAGGGUGUAAACGCUG
rnacentral:rRNA from 1 species